GGGGGCAAAAAGACAGGCCGGGACGAGGGACAUCCAGGACGAUAGACAAUGACGCGACCAGUGACACACGGCUUAAAUACACCAGGGAGGUGCAGGUGAUUGGACACAGGUGGAAACAAUCAGACAAUCACAGGGGACGACAGGACAAGGCAGGAAGUGAAGUUACCCGGGGACACGAGUGGCGGAAAACUACAAAAUAAGACAGGACGUAAACCACACCGUGACAACAUGGUCUUUUCUCUCCCGUCUCUCACUGUCAAAGCUGCCAUGACCAGGGGGACAGAGGAAGAGACGCAUUCACGUCCCCGGCACAGACACACAAUAAACAAUGUUUUUACAAAACAACUAUCGGGAAUUGUAACCGUUUCUUAAUCUAGAAACAUCAUUUAAUAUUUACUCCAACGUCUAACCACAAUUAUUACGCCCAAAUGAAUUGACAAUGACAAUAAUGGCGACCUCCUGGAGACAGUCAAAUUAAUUUGUUAUUUGUCCUCCUGCCGGCAACGCUGAAGAUGAAAAGAGGGAGAGAACUAAAGACAUAAAGAAAGUACAAUAGAAGAAAACGUCCCCAAAAGCAGCAGGAAGGUGUUCCGAAGGUAAAAGCUGAAAAGGUUCGUCAGCACGAAUGCAAAACCAAACCAAUUGCAGAGAAAUGAAAAGGAAAUAAAGGAAAUAAAAUUCAGAUGAAACGGUCUGAAUUAUAUAAGUGAAAGUGAACAGUGUGCGGCGGCGAUGUCGUGCACGAGUGUGUGUCAGCGGCCUUAAUGAGGCGGUACCUCACUGGAGGGAGGAGGCCGAUGCCUCUUUAUUAAACGGGAGGGCCGAGGGAGAGAAAGGGGGGGAGGGAAGAGAAGAAGGGGGGAGGCAGAGAGAGGAUAGAGCACUUUGUCUCAAGUAUCCUCAGAACUUUUAUUUCCUCCACGUGAUCUGAGGCGCUUCAGCUUCUACUCUUCCAGUCGACGUUUGAGAAAUAAUGUCCCUUAAUAAGUGAAAGUUCAGUUCAAUGAUGGAGGAGCAAACGCUGACUGAAGACUGAGAGACGGGGGACAGACACUAUAAACCAGAUCUCUUAACGAGUUGUCUCUUAACAAGACGUCUUUUUUAACGAUCCGUCUCUUAACGAGUUGUCUCUUAACGAGCCGUCUCUUAACGAGUUGUCUCUUAACGAGUUGUCUUUUUUCUAACAAGGCGUCUCUCAACGAGUUGCCUCUUAACAAGACGUCUGUUUUUUUAACGAGGCGUCUCUCAACGAGUCUUCUCUGGACAGAAAGACGACCAAACGUCUCACAGAUCAUUCCAGUUGAUGUCUCUCGGUUCUCCAUCCGUCGCUUUUCGUCUCCUCGUCGUUCGUCUCCGUCUGUCGUCUCCACUCGUCUCUCUUCUGUGUUUUUAUUUUUAUUAGAGGUUUUGAGUCUGUGGGCGACUCUGAUUGCUUCAGCACAUGUGAGACUUCUAUAAAUCUGUCAUCUGAAGCCGACACACACACACACACACACACACACACACACACACACACACACACACACUCCAAAGGUAACCACAUAUCCCCAAAGGAAGAGGGAGGCGAAGGGGUCUGUUUGUGUAACUCUCCAAAGGUGCUUUAGAAAAAGUGUCGGGUUUUCACAAUAAAAGGUUAGAAGGGUCAAACUUGUCGAUCUCACUGGGUCCUUGUAGCUGAGCGCUGGUGACGUGAGACCACAGACACACACACACACAGACACACACAUCCAGCGCACACAGACCAGACCAGGCGUUUGGAAGCCGGUCAUUUAAACGAAAAGAUGAUAUUUCACGUCCUCGGAUGCCUCGCGGUGAUUUAUCCCUUCGUGGCGACA
ensembl:lncRNA